rnacentral:lncRNA from 10 species
GUCACUCUGUGAAGAUGACUUGCUUUGGGGAGGCACUACCUACCUCUGUGCAAUCUAUAAGCAUCUCCUGUCCUAGGCUGUGAGCUCCCUGGAUGGGGGAGUGGCUGGGUUAACUUUAGUGAGUCUCUACUGUAUGCACUGGGCAUCCACACCCACCAUCUCAGUCCAUGUGAACAACACGUGGAAGGCAGUGACUUUGAUCUGUUUUGAGCAUUGCUGCAACUCCACAACAGAAAACACACAGUAGGUACUAAUAAAUCUGCGGACUCACGGACAAACCAAAUGAAUGAACCUGCCCAACAGCCCUGAGGUGGAAAUUAACCCACCUGACAGAAGAAAGCUAACUUCAGAAGGAGACUUGCCCAAGAUUACACAGCUUGAAAGUGCCAGAAUUACCUCUAGUCCUCAGUUCCCAUUAAUACGACAGAGGCCAUAACACUUCAUCCUAAGGGAAAGAGGGGACUAGGUCACACGGGCCCUGAAAUCCGUUCCAAGACACCCCUGUCCCUGCAGAACAAUCCCUCCAAGAAUUAGUUCUCUCCGCUAUGAAAUGGGAGCAAAAGGCCGGGCAUGGUGGCUCACGCCUGUAGUCCCCGCACUUUGGGAGGCAGAGGCAGGCGGAUCACCUGAGGUCAGGAGUUCGAGACUAGCCUGGCCAACAUGGUGAAACCCCAUCUCUACUAAAAAUACAAAAAUUAUCUGGGCGUGGUGGCGUGCGCCUGUAAUCCCAGCUACCCUGGAGGCUGAGGCAGGAGAAUCGUUUAACCCAGGAGGCAGAGGUUGCAGUGAGCCAAGAUUGCGCCACUGCACUCCAGCCUGGUCAACAAGAGCAAAACUCCAUCUCAAAAAAUAAAUAAAUAAAAUAAAAUAAAAAUAAAUAAAAUGGAAGCAAAAAAAGGUCCCCGCUUUGCCUCCUUCCUGGGGCUACUGGGAGAGGCAUGUGGAAUGAGGCGGUGAUCUCUUUGAGAGGCACAGUCCCAAUCUCUGAAUCUGCCUGGCCCUUCUCCAGGCAGGCCCCAUGUGGUCUCUGCCUUGGAGGCUCCUAUGACAUAGC